rnacentral:misc_RNA from 1 species
CAACCCUCGAGCCCCAGGCGGGCUCGGUGUUGGGGACCGGCCCCGGCCGCCCCCGAAAUGCAGUGGCGACCUCGCCGCAGCCUCCCCUGCGUAGUAGCACAACCUCGCACCGGAGCGCGGAGACGGUCACGCCGUAAAACGCCCAACUUCUCAG